rnacentral:rRNA from 1 species
UACGAGAGCCUCGAGCGUUAUCCGGAAUUAUUGGGCGUAAAGGGUGCGUAGGUUGUUCUGUUAGUCUUUUGUCAAAGCCCCGGGCUUAACCUGGGAUAUGCGGGAGAAACGGCAGAACUUGAAAGUGCGAGAGGUAUACAGAACUCGAUGGUGUAGGGGUGAAAUCCGUUGAUAUCAUGGGGAAUACCAAAUGCGAGGCAGUAUACUGGCGCAUAUUGACACUGAAGC